GAGGGAUAAAGAGGAAAAAAUAGCUGUGCUCCUGCUUCUUUCGUUCUAAGAUAAAUUCUCCCGGAGACAACCUCUCCCACUAAUUGUGUGUUAGCCAUGAAUUUUAUCUCAAGAGCUGACGCACUGCGCUCUCAACUGAUGUUGAAAAGCAGCCUGUUACAGUGUGGGAUUCAUAAAAGGGCCUCUAUGGUGUGUGAGAAAGAAUAUCUGUGUGCCUAGGCAGGAAACUUUUUGAUCUACAGAAAAGCCAGAAGACAUCUAGCAUACCAGAAUAGGAGUCCUGUCUUAACUGAGCAAUAUACACUAUGGAGAGAUCCUUCAAAACCCGUCGGGACGAAUAACAGAUGAAUUCAUAAAACUGUUCAUCUCUGUUAUCCUGAAUGGUCACUCAGACAACAUUUUACUCAACUAUAAAGGGAGAAGCAUAUUGUGUGAUGUUCUAUAUUUAUGAGACCCAUAGCAAACUGUGAAGAGAUAACAGAAUGCUUUUUGCGUGAGCUGAAACAGUAGAUGAAAUCUUUCAUUAAAAUUACUCAUACUUUGGGUCCUAUUCUUAUUUAUAAAUAAAUAUUAUUGCAAACAUUU
ensembl:processed_transcript